rnacentral:rRNA from 1 species
CAGUCGCCGCGGGAAUAUGUAGGGUGCAAGCGUUAAUCGGAAUUACUGGGUGUAAAGCGUGCGCAGGCGGUUUGUUAAGACAGAUGUGAAAUCCCCGGGCUCAACCUGGGAACUGCAUUUGUGACUGGCAAGCUAGAGUGUGGCAGAGGGGGGUGGAAUUCCGCGUGUAGCAGUGAAAUGCGUAGAUAUGCGGAGGAACACCGAUGGCGAAGGCAGCCCCCUGGGCCAACACUGACGCUCAUGCACGAAAGCGUGGGGAGCAAACAGGAUUAGAUACCCCGGUAGUCCCUGUCUCUUAUAC